AUGUUCUAUCCACUGUACCACCUAGUUUCCAGUGUCACUGAAGAAUUUAAAAUUGGGGUUCUAAAGGACAAUGGAAAGACACAUGGCACUGCCACAAGAGCACAUAAUAAAAAAAAGUUCCUGACCUCAAGGAGUCUACAAUUUGAAAGAUCAUCAAAAUACUAUUUGCCACUGCUUGGACAGCUCCUACCAGUCUCCCAUCCAGGAUCCUGGAGCACAAACCCUCAGCCAUUUGGAGAAAUUAAAAGCUUCUAUGCUCACAAUACUCCUGGACAAAAGGAACUGAUACAGGAUAAAAUAAGCAGAACCAGGAAAAAUUGUACAAUGAUUAAAUGUGGAAACUUGCUUUUUCUCAACAAUGCAAUGAUCUGGGACAAUCCUGAAAGAACUGUUAGAGUUGGAUGAAUGUGGAUGAAAGCAUACUAUUAUUCACAUCAGUGUACUUAUGGUUAUAUUUUGGAAUUUUUCUUCUGUCUUAGUGUGAUUUUACAACAAUGAGCGAUAUUGAAAUAUGCUUUGCAUGAUAAUAAAUAUAAAAAAUUUAAAAAUAGUUAAAAUAUU
rnacentral:lncRNA from 1 species